AGUGAACGCUGGCGGUAGGCCUAACACAUGCAAGUCGAACGGCGGCACAGUAAGAGCUUGCUCUUACGGGUGGCGAGUGGCGGACGGGUGAGGAAUACAUCGGAAUCUACUUUUUCGUGGGGGAUAACGUAGGGAAACUUACGCUAAUACCGCAUACGACCUACGGGUGAAAGCAGGGGAUCUUCGGACCUUGCGCGAUUGAAUGAGCCGAUGUCGGAUUAGCUAGUUGGCGGGGUAAAGGCCCACCAAGGCGACGAUCCGUAGCUGGUCUGAGAGGAUGAUCAGCCACACUGGACCUGAGACACGGUCCAGACUCCUAGGGGAGGCAGCAGUGGGGAAUAUUGGACAAUGGGCGCAAGCCUGAUCCAGCCAGACCGCGUGGGUGAAGAAGGCCUGCGGGUUGUAAAGCCCUUUUGUUGGGAAAGAAAAGCAGCAGGUUAAUACCCCGCUGUUCGGACGGUACCCAAAGAAUAAGCACCGGCUAACUUCGU
rnacentral:rRNA from 1 species